rnacentral:rRNA from 1 species
GUGGGGAAUAUUGGGCAAUGGGGGAAACCCUGACCCAGCGACGCCGCGUGAGGGAAGACGGCCUUCGGGUUGUAAACCUCUUUUGUACGGGAAGAAGGAAGUGACGGUACUGUACGAAUAAGUCCCGGCUAACUACGUGCCAGCAGCCGCGGUAAUACGUAGGGGACGAGCGUUGUCCGGAAUUACUGGGCGUAAAGGGCGCGCGGGCUGUGCUGCAAGUCAGCUGUGAAAUGUCUGGGCUUAACCCGGGCAUGCGGUUGAGACUGCAGUGCUGGAGUGCUGUAGAGGCAAGUGGAAUUCCCAGUGUAGCGGUGAAAUGCGUAGAUAUUGGGAAGAACACCGGUGGCGAAGGCGACUUGCUGGGCAGCAACUGACGCUGAGGCGCGAAAGCCAGGGGAGCAAACGGGAUUAGAUACCCGAGUAGUCC